CCUCUGGUGUACCAGUUGUUCUGCCAAGAGCACCGCUGGGUAGCUACGUAUGGAUUAGAUAAUCGCUGAAAGCAUCUAAGUGAGAAACUAACCUCGAGAUGAGAUUUCCCAUUCGUCAGAAGUAAGACCCCUGAGAGACGAUCAGGUAGAUAGGCUAGAAGUGGAAGUGUAGUGAUGCAUGGAGCGGACUAGUACUAAUAGGUCGAGGACUUAACCAAG
rnacentral:rRNA from 1 species